rnacentral:rRNA from 1 species
AGUGAACGCUGGCGGCGUGCUUAACACAUGCAAGUCGAACGAGAACGGGUUAUAGCUUGCUAUAAUUGUCAGCUAAGUGGCGCACGGGUGAGUAAUGUAUAGGUAAUAUGCCUCUUACUAAGGGAUAACAAAUGGAAACGUUUGCUAAUACCUUAUAUUCCUUUUUGUCAAAAGAUAAAAAGGGAAAGAUUUAUUGGUAAGAGAUUAGCCUGUAUUGUAUCAGUUAGUUGGUGGGGUAAUGGCCUACCAAGACGAUGACGCAUAACUGGUUUGAGAGGAUGAUCAGUCACACUGGAACUGAGACACGGUCCAGACUCCUACGGGAGGCAGCAGUGGGGAAUAUUGCACAAUGGACGAAAGUCUGAUGCAGCAACGCCGCGUGGAGGAUGACACAUUUCGGUGCGUAAACUCCUUUUAUAUAAGAAGAUAAUGACGGUAUUAUAUGAAUAAGCACCGGCUAACUCCGUGCCAGCAGCCGCCGUAA